rnacentral:rRNA from 1 species
ACACAUGCAGUCGAGCGGGGAAAGGUAGCUUGCUACCUGACCUAGCGGCGGACGGGUGAGUAAUGCUUAGGAAUCUGCCUAUUAGUGGGGGACAACAUUCCGAAAGGAAUGCUAAUACCGCAUACGCCCUACGGGGGAAAGCAGGGGAUCUUCGGACCUUGCGCUAAUAGAUGAGCCUAAGUCAGAUUAGCUAGUUGGUGGGGUAAAGGCCUACCAAGGCGACGAUCUGUAGCGGGUCUGAGAGGAUGAUCCGCCACACUGGGACUGAGACACGGCCCAGACUCCUACGGGAGGCAGCAGUGGGGAAUAUUGGACAAUGGGCGNAAGCCUGAUCCAGCCAUGCCGCGUGUGUGAAGAAGGCCUUUUGGUUGUAAAGCACUUUAAGCGAGGAGGAGGCUAC